GCGUCUAUAGCUCAGGGGCAGAGAGUCUGUCUUGUAAACAGAUGGUCUGCGGUUCAAUCCCGCAUGGAGGCA
rnacentral:tRNA from 1 species